AUUACAGUCAACCUACAAGCAGCAGCAUGAUGUUAAUCCUGCUGGUCAUGAUGGCUCAGAUCCUUGUUGUGGUUUCAGGAUCUUCUCUCAGCGAUCAGGUUCAUCAGACUCCGUUCAACAUUGUGGCAAAGCGAGGAGAAGCAGCCAGAAUCAGCUGCUCUCACGAUAUAAAGAACUACGAAGUGAUCCUCUGGUACAAGAGACUAGAGGACAAACAGCUGCAGCUGCUGGGGUACAGAUUUAAAGAAAACACAAAUCCUGAACCUGGAACCGAUGUUAAGCUGGAUAUGGAUGGGAGUGGAGAUCAAGGACAGACCUGCACUUUAACAAUCAAAGAGCUGAGUGAGAAAAGCAGUGCAGUUUACUACUGUGCUGCUAGUUACCACAGUGCUGAAUAUCACUGCUGCUCUGUGCAAAAACCUCCUUCCAUCCUGCUGCACCUGUGGCAGCACAGCCUCACUAAGGAGAUGCUGGGAUUCCAGUGA